CAUUACAGAGUUCAUGCCCUACACGGGUAGAUCUCCCACCCUUUGUUAUCAUUACCUUCGUUGCUUUGGCGGGCCGUCAGGCCUCGGUCAGGCUACCGGCUCUAGCUGGUAAGCGCCCGCCAGAGGACCCCAAACUCUGAAUAUUAGUGUCGUCUGAGUACUAUAUAAUAGUUAAAACUUUCAACAACGGAUCUCUUGGUUCUGGCAUCGAUGAAGAACGCAGCGAAAUGCGAUAAGUAAUGUGAAUUGCAGAAUUUAGUGAAUCAUCGAAUCUUUGAACGCACAUUGCGCCCCUUGGUAUUCCGAGGGGCAUGCCUGUUCGAGCGUCAUUACAACCCUCAAGCAAUGCUUGGUAUUGGGCUCCGCUGCUCACCCAGCCAGCCUUAAAAUCAGUGGCGGUGCCGUUGGGCCCUGAGCGUAGUAAACAUCCUCGCUAUAGGGACCCGGUGGACACUAGCCAUCAACCCCCAUUUUCCAAGUUUGACCUCGGAUCAGGUAGGGAUACCCGCUGAACUUAAGC
rnacentral:rRNA from 1 species